GAGAUUUCAGUCCAUGGUUAGCUGCCUUUGUUGCUAUGGACCUGUGGUAAAGCAGAAUAUCAGGGUAGACGGGCAUGGUGGAAGAAAGCUGUACUUCAUGGUGCCUGGGAAAGGGAGUGGGGAGCUCACCAAGGGGCCAGGAACAAGGUAUAGUCCCCUAGUGACCUACUUCCUCCAACCAUGCUCCACUUCCUACAGAUUCUACCAUCUCCCCCAAAUCACAUCAAAUUAUGACUCUAUACCAAUUACUUCCCUAAUGUCCCACUCGUGACGCUGCUGCAUUGGGGACCCAGACUUUAACAAAUGGUUUGGACACCCCAGAUCCAAACCAUAAUAAGAUAAAUGCAGCUUGGUGCUAGAGAUGGAAAAUGAGUGGAUUUAGGAUGUCUUAGAGGAGAGGUGCCAGGACUUGGCUGAUAUGAGGACAGGAGCAUGGGACUAAAGAAGACAAAACUGAUUCCAAGUUAGACUGGGGCAAUGGUAUAGACUGUGGCACCGUUUACCAAGCUGGUAAAGACUAGGUUUGAGGGACAGAGGCUGAAAGGAACCAAAAGUCCCAUGUAGAGCAUGUGAGGGUGGAGAUGCUACUAGAUAUCCCAAUAGGGACCGAGGCAGCUGGUUGUCUGUGUGAGCCUGGAGCUGUGGACAGGUUAGGGUUGGAACGCUAAAUCUGCCAAUCAUCUGCUAACCAGGCUCUUAAUCAGGGUUAAGACAACCAGAUAAGUAUGUGUUAAAAGAAGACUGAAGGUGGGAAGAAAGGGGAAGAGAUAUUAGGGAA
rnacentral:lncRNA from 1 species